rnacentral:rRNA from 1 species
UGAGGAAUUUUGCGCAAUGGGGGAAACCCUGACGCAGCAACGCCGCGUGAGUGAAGAAGGCCCUUGGGUCGUAAAGCUCUGUCGACAGGGAAGAAAUUAACAUCAUCCAAUAGGUGUUGUUAUUGACGGUACCUGUAGAGGAAGCACCGGCUAACUCCGUGCCAGCAGCCGCGGUAAUACGGGGGGUGCAAGCGUUAUUCGGAAUUAUUGGGCGUAAAGGGCGCGUAGGCGGUCUUGUCGGUCAGAUGUGAAAGCCCAGGGCUCAACCCUGGACGUGCAUUUGAAACAGCAAGACUUGAGUACGGGAGAGGAGAGCGGAAUUCCUGGUGUAGAGGUGAAAUUCGUAGAUAUCAGGAGGAACACCGAUGGCGAAGGCAGCUCUCUGGACCGAUACUGACGCUGAGGCGCGAAGGCGUGGGUAGCGAACA